UACAGAGGUCUCAAGCGUUUGUUCGGAUUCAUUGGGCGUAAAGGGUGUGUAGGUGGCGCCGUAAGUCGGGUGUGAAAUUUCGGAGCUUAACUCCGAAACUGCAUUCGAUACUGCGGUGCUUGAGGACUGGAGAGGAGACUGGAAUUCAUGGUGUAGCAGUGAAAUGCGCAGAUAUCAGGAGGAACACCGAUUGCGAAGGCAGCUCGCUGGGACGUUACUGACGCUGAGACGCGAAAGCGUGGGGAGCAAACAGG
rnacentral:rRNA from 1 species